GGUUUUAAUGAGAUUUUUUUUUUUUUUUAAUGUAGUUUCAUGCCUCAUUCUCAACGGGAGAGGCGUAGCCUGCAAGCACUGAAAUGUGGAUAUAGAAAUGCUUUUUAGCUUGUUUCAGUGUCCCAGGAUCAUACAUUUAUGGAUGCAUGUGCCAGCUGCUUUUGGGUUGAUUCUUCCUGUAAACUGGAGGAAAGCCCACCGGUGUGAGGAGUUAGAGACUUUCUUGGUGUCCAAAGGGCUGGCUGCCUCCCAAGCCUGGGGAGGGGGCACCCACUGGAUCUCCUUUGUUCCCUAUUCUGAUGUAGGAAGGCUAGAACCCUAGAUCGCUCUGGCAAGUGAGGUUUUUUAAAAUGCAGCUGCAUGGGCUGCAAGCUGGGGCUUCAUAAGGUCUCUCAGACCCUGUCUCCCUUACUGGCAGUAAAUAAGGAUGAUUAAACUUUUCAUUACGAUAACACCCCACAGUUCCAUCCAUACAGGCUGUAUAAAUAAAUAAACACGGCUUUCUGUCAGCCUCUGAGAACCCUAGCUGAAAACCAGUGAAGAGAACCACUUUGAAAUAAGUCAGGGGGAAUAAAAGUAUGAGAAAAAUGUUCUUUUUUUUCCCUUAAAAGUCCUGUAGCCCCAUUAGCUGGAGUGGGGAUACCCAGAGGCCUGACAGGCCUUCACCUUACAGCCCAGAAAGAACUUCCCUCCACUGCCCUCCGAGGCAAAGGCCAUUUCUGUAAUGAUAUUUUAUUUUGUCUUGCUGUAAAACACGCCAGUACUAAUGUGAUUAAAUAUUAACUCAGUUUCUGAAAUUCUCUGCUCAGAUGACAAAAUACUAAGUCAUUGUUUUACAAAGUGAUCCAUGCUGGAGAAGUCUCAGGCACAUCACAAGUAGGGAGCUGCAGCCAUGUAUGUGUCCUGCUAGUUCUUUGGGCUGUAGACGGUCCUUGGGAGAAGAGCAAACUUGACUGGUCCAUUGCAGUUCUUUAAAAGUCUGGACCAGAGGUCAUGUGGUGAUGAGACCAACAAAGCUCCUCUAGAUGACUUGGCUCUUACUUCUCUGCCAACGGGACAGAUAACUUUCCGUAAGGAAACUCCAUGCCCACGCGUGAGGCUUCUUCCACGGAGUUGGAGUAGAGGAAAGGUCAGGGUGAGCCAACCUGACUUUGAGGUGACUCAGGCUUCUGUUAUGUCAGCAAAGACAAAACAGAUUUUAGAUAGUUAGCCAGACCUCUACCUAUGUGGAAUAUUGUAGAAAUGGGGUAUUUCAAGACUCAAAGGAAGGGAAACCGAUAGGAGAUAGAUCAUGGGUACUGACGUGAAAAAAAAAAUCCGUUUCCCUCUCCCUUUGCUCUGCAUGAUUAUCAAGACGGGAAUUAUCCUCCCUCCAUACCGAGUCUGUUCCCACUGAACUUUCCUCUUUCUGCUGGCAGCUCUGAAUGUCAGACCCUGCGGUCAGAGGGUCUUCUACACACGGUGAGGUUGCAACCGCCUCUGCAUGCAUUCGCACCCAAACCUUGUCCGGUUCCCCCCUCCUUUGGAAAUUGAGUGUUUUUACAGAGACUCCGGAGACAUUUUUGGAAUUUCAUGCUCCUCUGUGUUCCCCUAGGAACACAAGCAGGGCUGAGAAAUAACCAGGCAGGCGGGAGUGGAACUCUAGAUUUUGUUGGACGUAGGGUGGACUUGAGGAGGGAAGGUUUGCCCUGGCUAAGCCUUGGCUUGGGGGGACCAUUUGUCUAACCUUCCUGUACUAGAGACAGAAAUAUGAAGUCUCAUUCGGAACUUCCCUGGGAAAGUCAGCCGGCAUUGAGUUGCCUUUCCUGUGUUACCCAACACAGUCUGGAUGCCUUCAUGUGCCUUCUGAGCCUUAGGAAGAUGAACCCGCCGAGCUCCUCAGGUGCUAAUCAAGGGUACUGUAAAUUGAUAGGGGCCCGCUUUGUGCAGCCAGUGCUCCGGCUGCCCACUCCCUGGCUAGUGGAGGGCCUAUAACUACUGUUCUUCUAUGCUUGUUUAAUAUUUCAUGGCUGUAAUAAACCUGUCUUCCUUGCCCGCCUCCCGACAUAAAACCCCAAGUAGCACACAUCUGCAAUUAUACAUUUCUACUAAAUAUUAAUAAAGGACAACGGCUUUUUAAGGG
rnacentral:lncRNA from 1 species